GAUCCGGUAGUUCAGUUGGUUAGAAUGCCGCCCUGUCACGGCGGAGGUCGCGGGUUCGAGUCCCGUCCGGAUCGCCA
rnacentral:tRNA from 1 species